AGUACUUGUCACCUUAGCUUCAGUGGGUAACUGGCUGGGAAGGGGUUUCGAUUCGGGAACCCUUUCCAUUUCCUACCACUGUUUAUCAUCACAAGUAUUUCUCUUUAUUAGACAGCUCUGCCGAGGAACAUGAAAUUAUCAGCUUUCAAUCACCCAAAUUCAUCAAAUCUACCGCUAACUAGAUCACACGACAACACCGUGAACAAAUUUCAGAAAAUUAAACCCCAAUAGGAUAAAUUGCUGGAAACUGCAGCUACUUCAGUAGGUGUCAUUAGAACAGGCAGCCACUUCCUCUAAAGGUUACCUUGCAACCAAAGAAAGAAAAAACUUUGAACAGAUAGCACAAGUCAAGUAUAAUCACCGACACAUUGUUAGUUCAAGGUUUCACAUGCUAAGCAAGCAAAUUGAAAAAAAUAAAUAAAACCAAAGAAAGUAAAAAGGCACUGAAAGCUCCUCGCAUAUUAGCAUUGCCGAAUGCCGGUUUAGGAAUUGCUUCGAAGAGAUGCUAAAUGAAUGUUUAAAGAUGUCGCAUUUACAAAGGAAAUCAAUUCACCCAAUUACAUUUCUCGAACUUUUCCCAAGUUCAUCUAGGUGUAAAUGCAAAAUUUCCCACAAAAGUCACUGAGUAUAACAUUUAAAAAAAAAAAAUCAUUUAAGUGAUAGUUCAUAAAUGUAGCCUCAAACUCCAUUAAUUCCACACAAUUUAAUCCAAUAAGAUAAAGAAAGAGCCCGUGGUAUUUAACAAGCAAAAUGCAACUCGCAUUCCUUAUCUAUUCACAUUAGUUACUACAGAUUUAGAAGUCGGUAAGCGUGAAUAUCUGUAUUAAUACAUUCAUGUACCUAUUCUUUCAUAGAAUAGACAAAGUUAUGCCUAAAAUUAUGCAAAUAUCAAACUCAAAGAAAAAACCAGAAAUAAUAAAUCAAAAAGGACAUCCCAUUUCCAUUUAAAUUUACCCCCAAAAAAAAAGUAGAGAGUAGGGACGAUCAAUUCGGAUCCGCCUCAAUGUAUCUAUAUCACCCCUGCAAUAUUCAUCUGCAGCUCCAAAAUCAUUGAGUAAUGGGGAAAAAUGGUUAUAUAGAGUGGAAGAAAAAGAGUUGAAAAAUAACGCGACAGGUCGAAGUCCUCUUUAAUAAAUAUUGAGAAGUUGUCCGUUCAAAGAUUUGCAGCUAAAAGGGCUGAUUAUUUAGGGCAAUUGAUAGUGUGUACAGUUGAAUUAUUCUGUGCGAUUGCGAGUACGGAGGAACGAUUGCUUUUUACUUUUUGAAAUUUCUAUUCUUUCAGAGUUCCGAGCCCUACUUACUUUAGUCGUGCGUUCGCUGUGGCGUAGACUUUGAA
rnacentral:lncRNA from 1 species